rnacentral:rRNA from 3 species
GAGUAAUGUCUGGGAAACUGCCUGAUGGAGGGGGAUAACUACUGGAAACGGUGGCUAAUACCGCAUAACGUCGCAAGACCAAAGAGGGGGACCUUCGGGCCUCUUGCCAUCAGAUGUGCCCAGAUGGGAUUAGCUAGUUGGUGAGGUAACGGCUCACCAAGGCGACGAUCCCUAGCUGGUCUGAGAGGAUGACCAGCCACACUGGAACUGAGACACGGUCCAGACUCCUACGGGAGGCAGCAGUGGGGAAUAUUGCACAAUGGGCGCAAGCCUGAUGCAGCCAUGCCGCGUGUAUGAAGAAGGCCUUCGGGUUGUAAAGUACUU